AUCUAGCUGACGAGUUCCAAAUAGGACGAAACGCGCUUGAUGAAU
rnacentral:hammerhead_ribozyme from 1 species